AAGCGGAGGAAAAGAAACCAACAGGGAUUGCCCUAGUAACGGCGAGUGAAGCGGCAACAGCUCAAAUUUGAAAUCUGGCUCUUUCAGAGUCCGAGUUGUAAUUUGCAGAGGGCGCUUUGGCUUUGGCAGCGGUCCAAGUUCCUUGGAACAGGACGUCACAGAGGGUGAGAAUCCCGUACGUGGUCGCUAGCUAUUGCCGUGUAAAGCCCCUUCGACGAGUCGAGUUGUUUGGGAAUGCAGCUCUAAAUGGGAGGUAAAUUUCUUCUAAAGCUAAAUAUUGGCCAGAGACCGAUAGCGCACAAGUAGAGUGAUCGAAAGAUGAAAAGCACUUUGGAAAGAGAGUCAAACAGCACGUGAAAUUGUUGAAAGGGAAGCGCUUGCAGCCAGACAUGCUUGCAGUUGCUCAUCCGGGCUUUUGCCCGGUGCACUCUUCUGUAGGCAGGCCAGCAUCAGUUUGGGCGGUGGGAUAAAGGUCUCUGUCACGUACCUCUCUUCGGGGAGGCCUUAUAGGGGAGACGACAUACCACCAGCCUAGACUGAGGUCCGCGCAUCUGCUAGGAUGCUGGCGUAAUGGCUGUAAGCGGCCCGUCUUGAAACACGGACCAAGGAGUCUAACAUCUAUGCGAGUGUUUGGGUGUCAAGCCCGAGCGCGUAAUGAAAGUGAACGGAGGUGGGAACCCGCAAGGGUGCACCAUCGACCGAUCCUGAAGUUUACGGAAGGAUUUGAGUAAGAGCAUGGCUGUUGGGACCCGAAAGAUGGUGAACUAUGCUUGAAUAGGGUGAAGCCAGAGGAAACUCUGGUGGAGGCUCGCAGCGGUUCUGACGUGCAAAUCGAUCGUCAAAUUUGGGCAUAGGGGCGAAAGACUAAUCG
rnacentral:rRNA from 1 species